AUGCUACCUAUAAAAUCCAUUGUGCCAUGGGAGGUGGUCGAUAGCAGGAAAGCAACAGUCAGCUUGUUUGACUCCGGUCGCGUUGAAAAAAUCACCCAUGGCGAGGAGGAUGGCGUGGACAAAGAAGGAGAAAGAGCCAAAUGUGGUGAAGAUUCAGAGGACUCUUGUAACUCGGACGAGGACAACUUCAUCGACAUAGACGAAAGUGUCGUCCACCUAGGACUGCCGGGCCAUGGGUUUUGUAGGAUCAUAGGAUUGCACCCGCACAAGGAUGCACUCCUCCUCCACAUAAAUGGGCACGUCACCGUGUACCAUCUUAGCACCAUAACGAUGCAAUACUUGGGAAAGCAACUUAUCCGAAAACUUGCCAUGGGCAAAUGGGUCAAUAGUGCGUUCCCUUACCGCCCAUGCUACAUGGACUCACUCCUGACAACAAAGAUGCCCACAUGUAGGUAUGGGCUAGGAAGGUUUUAA
rnacentral:rRNA from 1 species